rnacentral:rRNA from 1 species
GACGGGGGGGGCAAGUGUUCUUCGGAAUGACUGGGCGUAAAGGGCACGUAGGCGGUCAAUCGGGUUGAAAGUGAAAGUCGCCAAAAAGUGGCGGAAUGCUCUCGAAACCAAUUCACUUGAGUGAGACAGAGGAGAGUGGAAUUUCGUGUGUAGGGGUGAAAUCCGUAAAUAUACGAAGGAACGCCAAAAGCGAAGGCAGCUCUCUGGGUCCCUACCGACGCUGGGGUGCGAAAGCAUGGGGAGCGAACAGG